rnacentral:rRNA from 1 species
GACGAACGCGGCGGCGUGCCUAAUACAUGCAAGUCGAACGAGAGCGACCGGUGCUUGCACUGGUCAAUCUAGUGGCGAACGGGUGAGUAACACGUGGGUAACCUGCCCAUCAGAGGGGGAUAACAUUCGGAAACGGAUGCUAAAACCGCAUAGGUCCUUUAACCGCAUGGUUGAAGGAGGAAAAGAGGCGCAAGCUUCUGCUGAUGGAUGGACCCGCGGUGCAUUAGCUAGUUGGUGAGGUAACGGCUCACCAAGGCCGUGAUGCAUAGCCGACCUGAGAGGGUGAUCGGCCACAUUGGGACUGAGACACGGCCCAAACUCCUACGGGAGGCAGCAGUAGGGAAUCUUCCGCAAUGGACGCAAGUCUGACGGAGCAACGCCGCGUGAGUGAAGAAGGUUUUCGGAUCGUAAAACUCUGUUGUUAGAGAAGAACAAAUGCUAGAGUAAACUGUUAGCGCCCUG